UAUAUUGCUCUCUCUCUCUCUCUCCCUCUGUUUCUUGCCCUUAGCGUUUUGCGGAAGCUUUGGUUUCUCGACGCUACCUCAAUGCUGCAUUGUUCUCACUGUCUCAUACACUGCGAAGCCGAUCGCUUCGAUGACUUCGUAUGUUGUUCGGGUUGCGGUAAGGUGCUUGGCCAGUUCUUUGGAGGAAAAUACAUUGAUCAUAGCAAACCUAUGCUCGGAAAGGACACGAAAUUGAAGAAGAGGAAGACCGAGAAGAAGCAGAAACAUGAGAAGAUUGAGAUGGAUUCCGCGGAUCUGCAACUCGCAACAUGAUUUUUUUCACGGCAGUUUUGACUAAUAACGACUUAAAACUCAACAAUUAUUUGAAUCAUCACCAAAUUUUUUUUAAAGGAACCAUUAUUCUGAGACAUUGAUCCUCCGACGUUUUCGAGUUCCAGUUUGUUGCCCUAUUUUGUUCGCAAUCAAUAAUGGCCCUCUCCUGAUAA